UAAUCAGAUUACCCUCGGGACGCAUAUUCAAUGUUUUUGGUGUCUCAUUGACUUGGUGGUGUCUCAAUUACCAUGUGGUGUCUCAGCUAUCACCGUUAAUGCAGGUAUACGUGUAUGUGUACCCACGCUUCAUUCAAUGAAGCGCUGUCGGCGCCACAUAAUCUGCAUCAUCUUGUGUGUGUGUGUGCCCAUUUGUCUUCUUCUCAUUCACACACAUACUUGCUUGCAUUACUCUACUCCGAUUAGAGUUUCGUUAACGCAGCAUGUGUGCAUUCACCACAUGCAUACCAUUGAACCUACGGACGAUGGUCGUUUCAUUCACACACAUACCUGCUUACAUUACUCUACUACAAUUAGAGUUUCGUAAACGCAACAUGUAUGUAUUCAAUGAAUGAACGGUUUUUGGCGAACGCAUUUGACUGAGGUUAUGAAUGGAUUUCAUCUACUAUCAACGCAUUAUUUGAAUCGAUUGGGACAUUGGAAAACAAGUGAACACAAAAAGCAUACUGCUCAUCACGGUAUACCAUAGGGGCACACAGGUAUUUUCCGUUCGAGGUCAUAUUGGACGCAAACAUGUCAUUUAUGGUUCUUGUUACUUUGUGCCCAAAUUAUCUGCACAGCUUGGACCGAUAACUCAAUGAGGUGACGUACAGGUACCCCAACGAUACGCCACGAACCUUUCAACAUAGAUCACAUCUCCUGAUGCAGAUAUUUAUGAUCGCUUUAUAAGGGUAUCAUUUUGGAUUUCCCAGAUGGAUGCAGUAUACCAUUUAAUUUUGGAAUAUAAAUUUAAUAGAGGAAUACAAAUUUAUAUAUCCUUUUUGCCUGAUAUUUGGGAUAGGUAUUUUUUUGUUUGGUAACAGCAGUAUAUGGACAGUUAACGGCGUCACCCCCUUGGAGUAGGAACAUACCUUGCGAAAAACAGCGCAAUAUUUUUAUACCUGAGGAUUGUCAACUAUUUCUCAUUCUUGAAACACAUCGUGGAAAAAGUUUUACCAACCCAAAUAGGUAAGUGUUUAUUUUCUUUUUGUCACAAGUGGUCAAUAUGAGGUUUAGUGUGUGAAAUAUAUCAAGAAGGUUGUUUUUGGUAUUGCGACUUCGGAGCUGUGUCUUUGCUGUGCGGGCAUUUGUGCGUGGAUAUUUUUUUAUCGCAUGCGAUAAAAACACAUUGUGGUUCUUUCGUAUGCGGUAAUAUGGAAAGAUACAAAUUUAUGCUGAAUAAAUAAUAUAUGUGUGAAUAAUUUAUGGAUCGUUCUUG
rnacentral:sRNA from 1 species